rnacentral:misc_RNA from 1 species
AGAACUUAAAAGAAUUUAUCCCCUUCUCUUUCACCAUGAUUUCCAUUUCCUGUGAGACAACUUCAUCCCAUUUUGUGAUUGCCAUAUGAAAACCAUAGUCCAUGCAUGAUUUCUUUGCUUUUUUCUCGUAUGAUUCAAACCCUGCAGUUAGACUCCCGUUCACUGGAAUAACAAAGUCAAUGUGCAUGGUCGUUCCACCAGCUAAUGCUGCAGCCUGGCCAGUGAAGAAGUCAUCAACGGCCUCAGUACCCAUAAACUCAAAAGCAAGAUGUGUGUGAGGAUCGAUUCCUCCUGGCAUGACAUAUUUUCCAGUGGCAUCUAGGA